CUGGGUUGAAGUUGGUGGAGGACUGGUCUGCACCAAGGGUGGCUUCCAGCGCAGGUUCUUCAGUGGAGCAGGGGUGAAGUGAAAAGAGCCAGUUGGACGUUUCUUGAGAAGCAGCCUCACUCCAGCAGGAUUCUCUCGCAAUUUUGCCACAAGAUUUUUUAGUUGCCACCCAACCACAGUUUGUUGGUUAACCUGGAUCACCUCAUCACCAGCAUGAAUCUUCUGAGAUCUAUCAGCAGGGGAAUUUUCUGUGGUGCCUGUAAUUACAUGUAAUCCAUCAUAAGUUGAUUUGAUGUACAUACCCAGGCCUUCCCCAGGUCUAAUGUUGGUUAAAU
rnacentral:lncRNA from 1 species